rnacentral:rRNA from 1 species
GAUGAACGCUGGCGGUAUGCUUAACACAUGCAAGUCGAACGGACACUUCGGAGUUAGGGGCGGCCGGGGGAGUAAGGCGUGGGAAUAUGGACUUGGGUUCGGGACAACCACUGGAAACGGUGGACAAUACGGGACGUGCCGUGAGGUAGAAGAGCAAUUGCCUGAAGAUGGGCUCGCGUCUGAUUAGCUAGUUGGUGAGGUAAAGGCUCACCAAGGCAGCGAUCAGUAGCUGGUCUGAGAGGACGACCGGCCAAACCGGGAAUGGGAAGCGGCCCAGACAACUACGGGAGGCAGCAGUGGAGAAUUACCCGGAAUCGGCGCGUGCCUGACGAAGCACUACCGAGUGAAGGACGAAGGUUCUUGGGUUGUAAACCUCUUUUCGUAGGGAAGAACGACAUGACGGUACCUAAGGAAUCAGCAUCGGCUAACUCCGUG